UUAAAGGUUCUGCUUUCUAAGACGUUAAAGGUUCUGCUUUCUAAGAAGUUAAAGGUUCUGCUUUCUAAGAAGUUAAAGGUUCUGCUAAAGGUUCUGCUUUCUAAGACGUUAAAGGUUCUGCUAAAGGUUCUGCUCUCUAACAAGUUAAAGGUUCUGCUAAAGGUUCUGCUUUCUAACAGGUUAACGGUUCUGCUAAAGGUUCUACUUUCUAACAAGUUAAAGGUUCUGCUAAAGGUUCUACUUUCUAACAAGUUAAAUGUGCUAAAGGUUCUGCUAAAGGUUCUGCUUUCUAACAGGUUAAAGGUUCUGCUAAAGGUUCUGCUCUCUAACAAGUUAAAGGUUCUGCUAAAGGUUCUGCUUUCUAACAGGUUAAAGGUUCUGCUAAAGGUUCUACUUUCUAACAGGUUAAAGGUUCUGCUAAAGGUUCUACUUUCUAACAGGUUAAAGGUUCUGCUAAAGGUUCUACUUUCUAACAGGUUAAAGGUUCUGCUAAAGGUUCUACUUUCUAACAAGUUAAAGGUUCUGCUAAAGGUUCUGCUUUCUAACAGGUUAAAGGUUCUGCUUUCUAACAGGUUAAAGGUUCUGCUAAAGGUUCUACUUUCUAACAGGUUAAAGGUUCUGCUAAAGGUUCUACUUUCUAACAGGUUAAAGGUUCUGCUAAAGGUUCUACUUUCUAACAGGUUAAAGGUUCUGCUAAAGGUUCUACUUUCUAACAGGUUAAAGGUUCUGCUAAAGGUUCUACUUUCUAACAGGUUAAAGGUUCUGCUCUCUAACAUUUCUAUUGAACUUGUUCUUUUUUUCUUUCUUUCACCACCGUUACUACAAUGGAUUUUUUUUAAGACCCGAUCCGGUUCUGUUGUUGACUCUUCUGGAUCUGGUCUAAGAAUCCUAGAGCUGGGCAAUAAUUCAAUAUCACAUUUCACUCAAUAUAAACAUAUUGAUUUCAACUUAUUGAUUAUCAUUCUCCAGAAACUGUGAUUUAGAAACCAACUAAUUUGAUGAACAGCCGUUAUUUGAUAAUAUUUUGCACAUAUUUUCCAGGUUACGUUUUAUACAGAAAACAUCUGAGUAAAUAUUGUGAUAAUUACGUCAUCCGUGCAGGUGCUCCUGUUCAUAUGUUAAAGGGUUAAUUCCACAGUCCAAGUCAGACACCUGUCCCUUAAUUAAAGGACACACAACGUGACUCUAAUAACAACCAAGAAUUCACCAAUGUGGAUUUACAGUCAUAUUAGUUUGCUGUUUUUAACGUAGCCCUCUCACCAGAGGUCAGAGGUCACGGGUCCAGAAAUGAGCUGUUUGCACUCGGCUCACUUCCACGUCGUGUCGCUUUCCCCUCUGGUUGAAACAUCUGAAACAGGAAGCAGCGUUUCCAGAGCAUUUGUUUUGUGAUAUGACGUCACGUUCUUCUUUGUCACCACUUUGCACAGUUCUCUUUCUGUUUUGACUUGAUGGGUAACGCAUCAUCAUGAAAUGCAUCAUGGGUAACACAUCGUCAUGGUAACGCAUCGUCAUGGUGUCAUGGCUAACGCAUCAUCAUGUGUAACGCAUCGUCAUGUGUAACGCAUCAUCAUGUGUAACGCAUCGCCAUGUGUAACGCAUCAUCAUGGGUAACGCAUCAUCAUGGGUAACGCAUCGCCAUGUGUAACGCAUCAUCAUGGGUAACGCAUCAUCAUGGGUAACGCAUCAUCAUGGGUAACGCAUCGCCAUGUGUAACGCAUCAUCAUGGGUAACGCAUCAUCAUGGGUAACGCAUCGCCAUGUGUAACGCAUCAUCAUGGGUAACACAUCGUCAUGGGUAACGCAUCAUCAUGGGUAACGCAUCAUCAUGUGUAACGCAUCGCCAUGUGUAACGCAUCAUCAUGGGUAACACAUCGUCAUGGUAACGCAUCGUCAUGGUAACGCAUCAUCAUGGGUAACACAUCGUCAUGGUAACGCAUCGUCAUGGUAACGCAUCAUCAUGGGUAACGCAUCGCCAUGGGUAACGCAUCGCCAUGUGUAACGCAUCAUCAUGGGUAACGCAUCAUCAUGGGUAACGCAUCAUCAUGGGUAACGCAUCGCCAUGUGUAACGCAUCAUCAUGGGUAACGCAUCAUCAUGGGUAACGCAUCAUCAUGGGUAACACAUCAUCAUGUGUAACGCAUCAUCAUGUGUAACGCAUCAUCAUGGGUAACGCAUCGCCAUGUGUAACGCAUCAUCAUGGGUAACACAUCGUCAUGGGUAACGCAUCAUCAUGGGUAACGCAUCAUCAUGUGUAACGCAUCGUCAUGUGUAACGCAUCAUCAUGGGUAACACAUCGUCAUGGGUAACGCAUCAUCAUGGGUAACGCAUCGCCAUGUGUAACGCAUCAUCAUGGGUAACACAUCGUCAUGGUAACGCAUCGUCAUGGUAACGCAUCGUCAUGGUGUCAUGGUUUAACGCAUCGUCAUGGGUAACGCAUCGUCAUGGGUAACGCAUCAUCAUGGGUAACUCAUCGUCAUGGGUAACGCAUCAUCAUGGGUAACUCAUCAUCAUGGGUAACACAUCGUCAUGGUAACGCAUCGUCAUGGUGUCAUGGUUUAACGCAUCGUCAUGGGUAACGCAUCGUCAUGGGUAACGCAAACGCAUCGUCAUGGGUAACGCAUCGUCAUGGGUAACUCAUCGUCAUGGGUAACGCAUCGUCAUGGGUAACGCAUCGUCAUGGGUAACGCAUCGUCAUGGGUAACUCAUCGUCAUGGGUAACGCAUCGUCAUGGGUAACUCAUCGUCAUGGUAACGCAUCGUCAUGGGUAACUCAUCGUCAUGGGUAACGCAUCGUCAUGGGUAACGCAUCGUCAUGGGAGACGACGCUUUGAAGUUUUGACACUUUAUGUCCGUCCGACUUCAAAGUCCUUCAGCUUUAAAACGUCCCAGAGAAAGAUGGAUAUUUGGGGGUUUGUGUUUCUUUUGAUAAUGCUGCCGUCUUCGUGCCAGGAACAAAGCUUUUAACAUUCUUACCGUGAGAAAUAAAAAUUGUAGAUGUCGUACAAUAAUCUGAUUUGACUAAAACCCAGAUUUGUCAAUGUUACGGACACAAAAAGCUCAAAAAAAGGUGAAUUCAAUUAAUAAACAUGUACCACGGCAACAUUGAAUAAACAAUAUUUCAUAUCAGAAUAUCGAUGUCAAGACAUCGUUGGGAAAAUCAUCUCCAAUUAACUAUUUUAGAAAAGAAAUGGUAUCUGCACCAAAAACUUUAAAACUUGUGGAGCAAUUAAAUUUAAACACGCUUUAAAUACAUUUGAGACGAUGAGUUUUUUCUUAUUUCACGAUAACUUCCAGACUUUGAAGAGCAGGACGGACUUUUCUCCGAGGUAACGACGCGCUGCCAAAAUCACACAAACUGUAGCUUUAAGAUGAUCUGUUCUUUAUCUUUACCUUUGCACACCUCUCGUUGCCCACUUCUGCUUCAGAGUAUGUUUUUAAGCCAAAAAUUGUUCAUCAAAUUGCACGUUGUUGUAAGACGGCGAUCUUACAACAACUUUGUGAAUGUGUUCGCCUCCACGUCCUCGAGGGG
rnacentral:lncRNA from 1 species